GGCNNGCUAUACAUGCAAGUCGAGCGAACAGACAAGGAGCUUGCUCCUUUGACGUUAGCGGCGGACGGGUGAGUAACACGUGGGUAACCUACCUAUAAGACUGGGAUAACUUCGGGAAACCGGAGCUAAUACCGGAUAAUAUUUCGAACCGCAUGGUUCGAUAGUGAAAGAUGGUUUUGCUAUCACUUAUAGAUGGACCCGCGCCGUAUUAGCUAGUUGGUAAGGUAACGGCUUACCAAGGCGACGAUACGUAGCCGACCUGAGAGGGUGAUCGGCCACACUGGAACUGAGACACGGUCCAGACUCCUACGGGAGGCAGCAGUAGGGAAUCUUCCGCAAUGGGCGAAAGCCUGACGGAGCAACGCCGCGUGAGUGAUGAAGGUCUUCGGAUCGUAAAACUCUGUUAUUAGGGAAGAACAUACGUGUAAGUAACUAUGCACGUCUUGACGGUACCUAAUCAGAAAGCCACGGCUAACUACGUGCCAGCAGCCGCGGUAAUACGUAGGUGGCAAGCGUUAUCCGGGAAUUAUUGGGCGUAAAGCGCGCGUAGGCGGUUUUUUAAGUCUGAUGUGAAAGCCCACGGCUCAACCGUGGAGGGUCAUUGGAAACUGGAAAACUUGAGUGCAGAAGAGGAAAGUGGAAUUCCAUGUGUAGCGGUGAAAUGCGCAGAGAUAUGGAGGAACACCAGUGGCGAAGGCGACUUUCUGGUCUGUAACUGACGCUGAUGUGCGAAAGCGUGGGGAUCAAACAGGAUUAGAUACCCUGGUAGUCCACGCCGUAAACGAUGAGUGCUAAGUGUUAGGGGGUUUCCGCCCCUUAGUGCUGCAGCUAACGCAUUAAGCACUCCGCCUGGGGAGUACGACCGCAAGGUUGAAACUCAAAGGAAUUGACGGGGACCCGCACAAGCGGUGGAGCAUGUGGUUUAAUUCGAAGCAACGCGAAGAACCUUACCAAAUCUUGACAUCCUUUGACAACUCUAGAGAUAGAGCCUUCCCCUUCGGGGGACAAAGUGACAGGUGGUGCAUGGUUGUCGUCAGCUCGUGUCGUGAGAUGUUGGGUUAAGUCCCGCAACGAGCGCAACCCUUAAGCUUAGUUGCCAUCAUUAAGUUGGGCACUCUAAGUUGACUGCCGGUGACAAACCGGAGGAAGGUGGGGAUGACGUCAAAUCAUCAUGCCCCUUAUGAUUUGGGCUACACACGUGCUACAAUGGACAAUACAAAGGGCAGCGAAACCGCGAGGUCAAGCAAAUCCCAUAAAGUUGUUCUCAGUUCGGAUUGUAGUCUGCAACUCGACUACAUGAAGCUGGAAUCGCUAGUAAUCGUAGAUCAGCAUGCUACGGUGAAUACGUUCCCGGGUCUUGUACACACCGCCCGUCACACCACGAGAGUUUGUAACACCCGAAGCCGGUGGAGUAACCAUUUGGAGCUAGCCGUCGAAGG
rnacentral:rRNA from 1 species